CGCCUUGAAUAUACGCCACAUCCUUCCCGCUACGCCACUUGAUUGUUAACUUAUAUACGCAGUUCUCUUUUUUCUCUGUUUCCUGCCUUGCUGUAUCCCUUAUUCUGCCUUAAUACUCCCUUAUCUCCUUCCUACUACGCCUUGAAUAUACGCCACUUCCUUCCCGCUACGCCACUUGAUUGUUAACUUAUAUACGCAGUUCUCUUUUUUCUCUGUUUCCUGCCUUGCUGUAUUCCUUGUUCCGCCUUAAUACUCCCUUAUCUCCUUGCUUCUACGCCUUGAAUAUACGCCACUUCCUUCCCCGGCCUAGUCUUCCUUAUGACCAAUCCGGCAAACCUCCGUAAUAUUUUUGCCACCCCUUAUCUACAGAGAACAUACUGCAUACUUAUAGGAGCAGUGAGUAGAGGCCUUUUUCUUUUCAUUAUUGUUUCCUUCCUUUUUUUGGCCCUUGAACUGUUUCCUUUGCUGUAAAAAAAAAAAUAUCGGCAAAGGGAGGAGGAGAAGGAGGAGGAGGAGGAGGAGGAGAGGAGGAGUAAGAGGCCGGCUGUCAGCGUGUGUAAGGAGCUAAGGGGUGAACGGUUACUGUUAUAUUGAUACAGUGUGCCCAUUCAUAAUCCCGCGACGCCUCUCUGCAUAUGGCACCGUUGAGGGGGAGAAGGGGAAUGUAUGCAACAGUGGCGGCGGCGGCGGCGGCGGUGGAGGAGGGGGGAAGGGAUGCCGGGGAUGUUAAAUAAGGAUUCUGGGAGGUGGAGAGGCGACAGUGUGGAACUAGAUGAGGGUGGGAAGAGGAAUGUGAUGGUGGUAGAAAGGUGAGGGAACGUAAAUAAGGAUUGUAGAAGGUGGGAGAUGAGAGAAGUAUGAUGGUAUAUAGUGGAGGGGAAAUGGACCGUAAGUAAGGGAUGUGGAAGGUGGAGAGGCGACAGUGUGGAACUAGAUGAGGGUGGGAAGAGGAAUGUGAUGGUGGUAGAAAGGUGAGGGAACAUAAAUAAGGAUUGUAGAAGGUGGAUAAGCGACAGAUAGGACUAAACGGGGGAGAGGAGAGAAAUAUGAAGGAAGUGGAGAGGAAAUGGGACGUAAAUAAGGACUGUGGGAGGUGGAAAGGCGACACCGUGGACCCAUAACUACGGGAGGGAAGAGGAAAGAAAGGUGGAAAGUUUCGUUUAGUCGGCGCAACAUCUGUGGUCAUAUGCCGGAGAGAGACAGAAGGGGAAGGAAUUAUAGGAGGUGGAAAGGGAGAGAAGAGGAAUAUGACAGUAGUAGAACGGUGAUAGAUCGUAAACAAGGACUAUGAGGGCGUGGAGGAGUGACAUAUGGGACAAAAUAAGAACAGAAGAACAUAAUGAAAGGGUGACAUAAGCGUUAACAAAGCUUCUGGGAGGUAGUAACAUAACAGCUGGGGCUUAGUAUGGGAGAGGUGAGAAGAAUGCCAUGCUAGUGAAAGGCUGAGAGAAGCAUAAAUAAGGAUUCUCACACGUGCAUGGAGAGGUGACAUUAUGGAACUAGUGAAAGGCUGAGAGAAGCAUAAAUAAGGAUUCUCACACGUGCAUGGAGAGGUGACAUUAUGGAACUAGUGAAAGGCUGAGAGAAGCAUAAAUAAGGAUUCUCACACGUGCAUGGAGAGGUGACAUUAUGGAACUAGUGAAAGGCUGAGAGAAGCAUAAAUAAGGAUUCUCACACGUGCAUGGAGAGGUGAUAUUAUGGAACUAGUGAAAGGCUGAGAGAAGCAUAAAUAAGGAUUCUCACAGGUGCAUGGAGAGGUGACAUUAUGGAACUAGUGAAAGGCUGAGAGAAGCAUAAAUAAGGAUUCUCACAGGUGCAUGGAGAGGUGACAUUAUGGAACUAGUGAAAGGCUGAGAGAAGCAUAAAUAAGGAUUCUCACAGGUGCAUGGAGGUGACAUUAUGGAACUAGUGAAAGGCUGAGAGAAGCAUAAAUAAGGAUUCUCACAGGUGCAUGGAGAGGUGACAUUAUGGAACUAGUGAAAGGCUGAGAGAAGCAUAAAUAAGGAUUCUCACAGGUGCAUGGAGAGGUGACAUUAUGGAACUAGUGAAAGGCUGAGAGAAGCAUAAAUAAGGAUUCUCACAGGUGCAUGGAGAGGUGACAUUAUGGAACUAGUGAAAGGCUGAGAGAAGCAUAAAUAAGGAUUCUCACACGUGCAUGGAGAGGUGAUAUUAUGGAACUAGUGAAAGGCUGAGAGAAGCAUAAAUAAGGAUUCUCACAGGUGCAUGGAGAGGUGACAUCGUGCAACUAAAGUGAAAGGAGGAAACAUAAUGGGACUAAGGUGGAGAGGUGACAUUAAGUAUACUAAGGUGAGAGGAGAAAGCUGUACCGGUGGAAGCGUUGAUUAAUAAAGGUUAGGAAGGAAAGACAGAGGGAUGCAGUGAAGAAGAGAAAAGGAAUAAAGGUCGGUACUUUAAGACACUUUCGCUCCUAACAUCAGCUAUUUCUUAAGGUCGAAGAGGGGGUCAGUCGGGUUCUAAUGAGUGUUUCUUCAGGUUCAUGGUACAGAGGAAGGGUCAAACUACCACCAGGGUCAUGAAACUACUCCUGGAAAUGCCCACAACUCCUAGGACAGCCUUGUCAAAUAGGUGUUCUUGGGCAACGAAAUAUCUUGUAAUACGACCCAUAAUGUCACUGGUAGAAUGUAAGUAAUGGUUGCGGAAGGAAGAAAUGACAGCGGGAUAAAGAGAAGAAGAGGAAAGGAAUGUAAGAGAAAUGAAAGAACGUUUGUAAUGGCUGCAGAAGGAGGAACAGACAGCGGAAUGGAGUGAGCAAGAAAAAAAGGAAUAUAUUGUCACUAGCAGAACGUUUUUACUAAGGCCUGCGGAAGAAAGAACAGAGAGGGGAAUGGAGUGAAGAAGAGGAAAAAGAUGUAAGGUCACUAGCAGAACGUUUUUACUAAGGCCUGCGGAAGGAAGGAAAGACAGGGGAAUGGAGUGCAUAAGAAGAUAGGAAUGUAAGGUCACUAGCAGAACGUUUUUAAGGCCUGCGGAAGGAAGGAAAGACAGGGGGAUGGAGUGCAUAAGAAGGUAGGAAUGUAAGGUCACUAGUAAACACUGUGGGAGGUGGAGGAAGGGCAGCUGAAUGACGUGAAUAAGAAAGGAAUGUAAGGUCACGGGCUAAAUGUUAAUAAGGGUUUUGGGAGGCGAGGGUGGUGACAUGAUGCAGUGGAGUGAGGAGCAGGAAAGGAAUGUAAGGUCACGGGCUAAAUGUUAAUAAGGGUUUUGGGAGGCGAGGGUGGUGACAUGAUGCAAGGGAGUGAGGAGCAGGAAAGGAAUGUAAGGUCACGGGCUAAAUGUUAAUAAGGGUUUUGGGAGGCGAGGGUGGUGACAUGAUGCAAGGGAGUGAGGAGCAGGAAAGGAAUGUAAGGUCACGGGCUAAAUGUUAAUAAGGGUUUUGGGAGGCGAGGGUGGUGACAUGAUGCAGUGGAGUGAGGAGCAGGAAAGGAAUGUAAGGUCAGUGGAGGAGCGUCAAUAAAAGGUGCGGCAGGUAGAGAAGCGACGGCGUAAGGAAGUGGAGAAUUAGAAGAAAGGAAUGUAAGGUGAGUGAGGGCACUGAGGACUGCGUGGAGGAGCACUGCUGAGGGCUGCGGCAGGUGUGAGCGUCGGCAGGGCGGGGGCGGAGUGGGCUGGAGGGAGGGGAGGAGGACACAGAGGAGCAGGCUUGGAGUAAUUACAUAAUUCAUAGGUCAUUACAAUUACCAUUGCUCUUCCAGAUUUUCAAUUGUAACUUCAAUACAAUUACUUCGGGAUGAUUACAAAUUACAAUUACUGAUACAUAUAAUUUGUAUUGAAUUUAUUUAUUCAAUUCUAUACUGUACUAAUGAUGAAAUUAUUAUUUGAUGUUGAAACUUCGAAUCAUUUUAAUUAUUAUAAAUACUUGAACAGCGCGCAAGACCACCCGUGGUUUAUUUUCAAUGACUGUCCGACAAAUGCAGAACACGUCCAACGGUCGCCAAAUCCGCCACAGGCUGCCUGACCCUGCCAAAGGUUGAGGCGACAGGCAGGUUACAAAUGAGCUUCAAUUCACACAAUGUAUCCAUAAUGUUGUCACCGAGAUUAGCUGACAAUGAAAAAUAAUACUUGCUGGGCUAAAUUUAUGCUUUGUGAUCCGUACAGCUCAAUUAAGGCUCAAUUAUUAAAACUAUGAUUGCUUAUAAAUGUAACAGCUCCAUUACAAUCAUUCUUUUUUUUAGAUAAUUACAUGAAUUCAGUUACAACUGGCACUGCUCCAAGCUCUGAGAGGGGAUCUGCGUCGGAGAUGGAAGGCAGAAGGGAGGGUGGCACAGGGAGGGGAGGAGGAAAGGCUGCAGAGAGAGAGGGAGGGGGAGACAGAGAAGGCUCCAGCGGUUCCCUACGGGGAGACAAGUAUUUCUGGUUCUGUAAUAUACGUCAACCCUUCCCCUGGCCCCUUCAUAGCUGUCUCUCUCUCUCUCUCU